AUGUGCAGCGGCAGGGGAGCGGGUCUCCAGGCGGCUGAUCUAGCCGGCUCCGGGGUGAGGGACUCGUUCCCGGCGGCGGUGGAGCAUGACAGCGGCGGGGUCGAGCUGGUACAUCCAUGGCGUCUUGCGGGACAGAGAGAAGAAAGAGAAUUUGAGAGACAGGGAGAGAGCACCCGAGGGAGAGAGAAGGAAGAAUGGCACGCCCUGGUACGGGAGGAGAACGUCUCCAUGGAUGGAGGAAGCGAGGAGGCGCGCCGGAUACUGGUGCCCCUGGUGUUUGACACCGGCAGCGUUGGCGAUGGUCAUAAACGAGGCAGAGGCACGCUCGAUCGGGAGCUCCUCUCCUGA
rnacentral:rRNA from 1 species